rnacentral:snRNA from 1 species
AUCCAUAAAUUAAUUAAUUUUCU